ACAUGCUUCUUUAUAUGCCCAUAUGGACCUGCUAAGCUAUGGAAUGUAAAGAAGUGUGUAU
rnacentral:pre_miRNA from 1 species